AGCCCAAGAAAAUCCAACAUGAGAGUGAAGGGGUCUGUGUUUACUCAUUCUCACAAUCUCAUUUCAACUUGGGGCAACCGUUAGGUCAUGAUUGAAAGGUCAUGAUUACAUGAUGAUUGAAGGAUUUUAUAGAGUGGUGAGCUUGUAACAGAAUCGGGCAGCUUGGGGCAACCGUUAGGGCAAGCUAAGUUGAUGUUAAUUUCUCUGGUGUAAGUUGGGACUUGUUGAGCUUCAUCAUGAGGCAAGCUUUGGAACACGGUUUGCUGCAUCUUGAGGAACCACCGGUUUCAUGAGCUAGACUUUGAAUGCCUGAAAUUGAAUUGAUGGUGUUUGUACAUGGUUCACGGAAGUUUGAUAUGGUGCCCUGGUAGUAUGCAGAACUGAUUUAACUUGAUCUUCAUCAUGCAAUUUAAAGGGUUUCCAUUGCUUGCUAUCAGCUGAGUUUAAUUGCAAUAUAAAUAACUCAUUCUUUCUUUUGUCAUUUCACAUGGAUUGGUGGCUUGUGAUAAUGUGAUCAAACAAUACAAGCUGGUAUAGUUGGAAUUGGAAAUUGGAGUUGUGAUAUCAGUGGCUUUCUUACCUAUGAAGUUACUCAAAGAAAAAUGAAGGUGCAUUGGACUUGAAGUGUGGAGAAUCAAGAACAAGUCAGAUUUUGGGUCAAAGGGGUCAAUGGUCAAUUGUGUUGACCAAAAGUCAACUAUAACAUUUUUUGUACUUUUCUUCAUGUAAACUCGACAGUAACUUUGUGACAAAAUGCUUGUAAUAUUCUUUUGUUAAUGAAACUCUUUUUCCUUCCAAAAUCAA